rnacentral:rRNA from 1 species
UAACGCGUGGGAAUCUACCCAGUAGUGGGGGACAACUACCGGAAACGGUAGCUAAUACCGCAUACGCCCUAUGGGGGAAAGGCUUCGGCCGCUAUUGGAUGAGCCCGCGUCAGAUUAGCUAGUUGGUAGGGUAAAGGCCUACCAAGGCAACGAUCUGUAGCUGGUCUGAGAGGACGAACAGCCACACUGGGACUGAGACACGGCCCAGACUCCUACGGGAGGCAGCAGUGGGGAAUAUUGGACAAUGGGCGAAAGCCUGAUCCAGCAAUGCCGCGUGUGUGAAGAAGGCCUGCGGGUUGUAAAGCACUUUCAGUUGGGAAGAUGAUGACGUUACCAACAGAAGAAGCACCGGCUAAAUCCGUGCCAGCAGCCGCGGUAAUACGGAUGGUGCGAGCGUUAAUCGGAAUUACUGGGCGUAAAGCGCGCGUAGGCGGCUAAGUCAGUCAGAAGUGAAAGCCCCGGGCUCAACCUGGGAAUUGCUUUUGAUACUGCUUAGCUAGAGUUUGGUAGAGGAUAGUGGAAUUCCAGGUGUAGCGGUGAAGUGCGUAGAUAUCUGGAGGAACAUCAGUGGCGAAGGCGACUGUCUGGACCAAAACUGACGCUGAGGUGCGAAAGCGUGGGUAGCAAACAGGAUUAGAUACCCUGGUAG